UACGAAGGGGGCUAGCGUUGCUCGGAAUUACUGGGCGUAAAGGGCGCGUAGGCGGGUCGUUUAGUUAGAGGUGAAAGCCCAGGGCUCAACCCUGGAAUUGCCUUUAAUACUGGCGGCCUUGAGUAUGGCAGAGGUGUGUGGAACUCCGAGUGUAGAGGUGAAAUUCGUAGAUAUUCGGAAGAACACCAGUGGCGAAGGCGACACGCUGGGCCAUUACUGACGCUGAGGCGCGAAAGCGUGGGGAGCAAACAGG
rnacentral:rRNA from 1 species